ensembl:lncRNA
CCAGAAGACACCUGAAGACACCUGGGAGGCUAUCUUCAGCCUUAUAAGCUCAUCAAGCAUGCAGGUGAAUUUGAAAACAUAAUAACAAUUUGAAACUUGGAAUGAAAAGAUGUUUUGCAGGGUAAAUGCUUACAAAACCUUAACUUUUCCUAGACACGUGAGAGACCGGACAUGUGUAUCGCCAGAGGAGUGAAAAUCGUUCCAGCGUGGGCCCCUAUACCACCCCAAGGAUGCACAUCUACACCACAACACCCUGUGGAUUGCAGCCCUGGAGUAUGGAGCAAGCACAGUACUCCAAGGCACCAGAGAGGUACUCCACGCCACCAUGUAGGUUGGCUACAUAGGGCAAGAAGGCAAAGGUAGGAUUUUAAGGGCAAGAAGGCAGAAGUAAGUUUUAGCUCUGCACAUGAAGGUAAGAAUGAACAUUUUGGCAGACACUGCGAUUUGAGUUCUGAUUGUAAAAAAACAGAUAUUAACCUGAACCAUACAGGCG